CCUGAGGUGACUCCCACUCUGAGGUCAGACUAAGUUGACUGCAUUAUUGUGGCAUUCAGGGUCAGCUCAAGAGUGUUUUUGGUAGAAACCCAUACUACUAUUCAAACUGCAUACGAGCCAGAAAAUGUCCUUUGGCUUGUUGAUACUGUGUUUGUGCAUGUAGUGUGAAAGUGAACUCCAGUCUGAGGAUUAUGCAACAGUAAAUUAGAGUUCAUUUGAACAAAGUUUAAAAAUUUGUUUCUCGAAAGACCUUUUGGGGUUGACAUCAUAAAUAUGUCACAACAUCAGCUGGAGGCAAAGCAAAGUGGAACCGGAGGAGUAGACGGUAUCAUAGGAGUCUUUAAUUUCAGCUAGUUGUGUCAUUAAUCCCAGGUCCCAUAGCUAAAAUUCUGCUGUAUGUGAGCUGCUUCUGCCCAUCAACGAGAGUGAAAAUCGCGACAAAACGGGACCAGUGAAAAACUGUAAAUUUAUUAGUUUUCCCAUGUGUUAUGGUAAGACAGGACAGUAGACAGUGAUUGUAUAUGACUGGUGGCAAACCCCAUCUCCAUAUGAAAUCAAAAAAAGAUUCAACAAUCCUGGAAAUCUCAACAUAAAACAAGGUCCUUUUUUGAUCAGGCUGCAGCACAUCAAAAUCAGUGGAAAUCACUACAUGGGCUCAAAAUCACUUUAAAAUGGUUGUCUGAAAACACAGUUAAUCACCGCAUCCACAAAUGCAGGUCAAAACUGAGAGCAACACAUGCUGCCGUCAGACAAUGACUUUUUCAGGGAUGACCUUCAAGUUUUAAUAAGACAAUGCCAAAC